GAUGAACGCUGGCGGCGUGCCUAAUACAUGCAAGUCGAGCGAACGGACGAGAAGCUUGCUUCUCUGAUGUUAGCGGCGGACGGGUGAGUAACACGUGGAUAACCUACCUAUAAGACUGGGAUAACUUCGGGAAACCGGAGCUAAUACCGGAUAAUAUUUUGAACCGCAUGGGUCAAAAGUGAAAGACGGUCUUGCUGUCACUUAUAGAUGGAUCCGCGCUGCAUUAGCUAGUUGGUAAGGUAACGGCUUACGAAGGCAACGAUGCAUAGCCGACCUGAGAGGGUGGUCGCCCACACUGGAGCUGGGACGCGGUCCAGAGUACUACGGGAGGCAGCAGUAGGGAACCUUCCGCAGUGGGCGAAAGCCUGGCGGAGCGACGCGGCGUGAGUGAUGGAGGUCUUGGGAUCGUAAAACUGUGUUAUUAGGGAAAAACAUAUGUGGAAGUAGCUGUGCACAGCUUGACGGUACCUAAUCAGAAAGCCACGGCUAACUACGUG
rnacentral:rRNA from 1 species